UGCAAGUCGAACGAACUCUGGUAUUGAUUGGUGCUUGCAUCAUGAUUUACAUUUGAGUGAGUGGCGAACUGGUGAGUAACACGUGGGAAACCUGCCCAGAAGCGGGGGAUAACACCUGGAAACAGAUGCUAAUACCGCAUAACAACUUGGACCGCAUGGUCUGAGCUUGAAAGAUGGCUUCGGCUAUCACUUUUGGAUGGUCCCGCGGCGUAUUAGCUAGAUGGUGGGGUAACGGCUCACCAUGGCAAUGAUACGUAGCCGACCUGAGAGGGUAAUCGGCCACAUUGGGACUGAGACACGGCCCAAACUCCUACGGGAGGCAGCAGUAGGGAAUCUUCCACAAUGGACGAAAGUCUGAUGGAGCAACGCCGCGUGAGUGAAGAAGGGUUUCGGCUCGUAAAACUCUGUUGUUAAAGAAGAACAUAUCUGAGAGUAACUGUUCAGGUAUUGACGGUAUUUAACCAGAAAGCCACGGCUAACUACGUGCCAGCAGCCGCGGUAAUACGUAGGUGGCAAGCGUUGUCCGGAUUUAUUGGGCGUAAAGCGAGCGCAGGCGGUUUUUUAAGUCUGAUGUGAAAGCCUUCGGCUCAACCGAAGAAGUGCAUCGGAAACUGGGAAACUUGAGUGCAGAAGAGGACAGUGGAACUCCAUGUGUAGCGGUGAAAUGCGUAGAUAUAUGGAAGAACACCAGUGGCGAAGGCGGCUGUCUGGUCUGUAACUGACGCUGAGGCUCGAAAGUAUGGGUAGCAAACAGGAUUAGAUACCCUGGUAGUCCAUACCGUAAACGAUGAAUGCUAAGUGUUGGAGGGUUUCCGCCCUUCAGUGCUGCAGCUAACGCAUUAAGCAUUCCGCCUGGGGAGUACGGCCGCAAGGCUGAAACUCAAGAAAAUAU
rnacentral:rRNA from 1 species